rnacentral:lncRNA from 1 species
AUGCCUGGACGGACGUUGUUUCUAUCUAAUAACAGAGGUUCUGUUCAAAUGCAUGACUUUGACAUUACAAAUCUCUGAUGCUAAGAUCUUUUCAUGGUGGAGGGUAGAGCUCCUCAAAAGCAUACCAGAAUCUUCAUCCUAAUUUUCCACUCCUCCCAAGUGAACGGUAGCUCAUUGGACAUUGUUUUGUUACUUGAAGGACUUGAGCUGGGAGAGAAUCUCUCUCUCUUCCAAGAUGCACCAUUCACCUUGUGGGCAUUGGCAUGUCAAUAAUGAUCUUAGUGGGAGGCAAAAAAUGCUAAAUGAUCUUGUGAAACAAUGAGAACUGGAACAACAGUAUCUUGCUGUCAUCAAUCCUUUGCCUGCAGGAGAACCAGAGAGACUUAGUCUUGACUUUCCUAUUUAGUCUCUGUACUCAUAAUUGUAUACUAAUGCAUGUUUCCAACUAGUGGUUUUUAGAAUUCAUACCGUAGAUGGGUAAUUGCUUGUGCUAUAUAUGACUGUGCUGGAACCCCAGCUACGAAUACACUUGGACGGAAGCCUUCAGAAACAAGGACUUAAAGCUGGUCUGUUGGGCCUGCUAGAUCAUACAAAAACAAAACAAAGGAUAUAAAAACAAACAAGAUGAUAGAUCAUUACUUAUCAGGAAAUUUGAAUGCCAUAUGCUCCUCACAUCAAAAAAAUCAAAAGGCGGAAGGAUGUUUUUCACCAAGCAACCUUCUAGUUCUGAGAAUAAAUUAUCACCAAAUUUUCCC